rnacentral:rRNA from 1 species
GCCCAACAGCUAGCCCACCUAAACAAUUUCAACAAACCCCUGUUAAUAACCCUUAAUACCCCAGUAUUUAAAUUAAACAAACCAUUUUUCCCCCUUAGUAUAGGCGAUAGAAAAGGAACUACGGCGCAAUAGAGAAAGUACCGCAAGGGAAUGCUGAAAGAGAAAUGAAACAACCCAGUAAAGCUUAGAAAAGCAGAGAUUUAUUCUCGUACCUUUUGCAUCAUGAUUUAGCGAGUGUACCCCAAGCAAAGAGUACUUUAGUUUGACGACCCGAAACUACGUGAGCUACUCCAAGACAGCCUAUUAAUAGGGCAUACCCGUCUCUGUGGCAAAAGAGUGGGGAGAGCUUUGAGUAGAGGUGAUAAACCUACCGAACCUAGUUAUAGCUGGUUGUCCAAGAAAUGAAUAGAAGUUCAGCCUCUUGGCUUCUCGUUUCACCCUAGUUUUACCCCUAUUGAUGCCUUAGAGAAACCGAGAGAGUUAGUCAAAGGGGGUACAGCCCCUUUGAAUCAAGACACAACUUUACCAGGAGGGU